AUUGAACGCUGUCGGCAUGCCUAACACAUGCACGUCGAACGAGUGGCGGACGGGUAAGUAAUGUCUGGGAAACUGCCCGAUGGAGGGGGCUAACUACUGGACACGGUAGCUAAUACCGCAUACCAUCGGAUGUGCCCAGAUGGGAUUAGCUGGUAGGGGGGGUAACGGCUCACCUAGGCGACGAUCCCUAGCUGGUCUGAGAGGAUGACCAGCCAAACGGGAACUGAGACACGGUCCAGACUCCUACGGGAGGCAGCAGUGGGGAAUAUUGCACAAUGGGCGAAAGCCGGAUGCAGCCAUGCCGCGUGGAUGAAGAAGGCCUUCGGGUUGUAAAGUACUUUCAGCGAGGAGGCGUUACUCGCAGAAGAAGCACCGGCUAACUCCGUGCCAGCAGCCGCGGUAAUUC
rnacentral:rRNA from 1 species